rnacentral:lncRNA from 1 species
AAGUUUAUAACAUGUACUAUCCGCACAUACAACAUGAUAUCCAUGAGCACAUUCAUUUGACCAUUUUUUAACAUACCAAGUAUACUUCUAAAGUCUACCUAAAUGGUCAAUUACAUAUAUGAGACAUUGUGCCUAAAACUUAGCAUGAAUACACAUCUAAAUUCCAACCAUUUAGUGCUAACACCCAAUUUCACAAGCAAGGCAUUCAUAAAGCAACUAUACACCACAUAUCAUAAGGUCAUUUAUACAUAUAUACAUAUCAAAAUACAUGACCACCUUACAAGCCAAUUCAAAUGGCCAAAACACAACAAGACAUAUAGGCCACAUUAGUCAAAAUACCUAUACAUGCCAUUUAACCAAAAUAUAAAAAGUCCAAAAUGAGUGUUUGAUAGUGUGACGCAAUCUUUGACGACUUCCAAACUGAGCGAGCUUCCGAAACACUAUAAAACACGGAAAAAUAAAUGAAGUAAGCAAGUAAGCUUAGUAAGUUCGUUUAACUAAAAUAUAACUUACCAUUCAUCCACAAUUUAGACAAGUAUAUUUAAAACAUAGAUAAAUUCCAUUUGGCCCAAAGCCUAACACAUAAUCACAAUCAUGUUAGCCAUGUAUGAAUAUAACAAAUUUAAUUAUUUCCCAUAUUUUACAUGAAUACCUGUCCUAGUUUGUAUUGAACUCGUACAACCUCGUAUUCUCAUUGUCUCUGUUGAACCAUUUGGAAUACUAUCGAAUACUCAGGUAUCUCGCACAAUAAGUGACAAUACGUGGUCAAAACCACCUCUAUCUCAUAUCUCAUAUCGAUGCUCACUCUCGAGCCAUAACUGGGCCUGCUCACACAAGUUGUAACAAUCCAAUUUUCAGUGAUGUCGAAAAUAGUGGUUCAAGACCAGCAAAUUCGAAAAGUGAGCUCGUAUAUUUAUUAUUUAGUAUUUAUGAGUUAAAUGUGAUUUUAAGAAGACUUUUGAAAUAGUGAUUUGUGUUUUAGAAGAAAGUAUUAAAUUAAGUGGUUCUGAAAAUGGGGUAUCGAGACCUCAAUUUCAUAAACCGAGUCGUAAAUAUUUUUAUAAAUAUUUACGGAGUGUCAUUGAGUUAGUAUUAAAGUUUCGUUAGAAAAAUUUAACAUUUUGGUUGUAACACCCCUUACCCGUAUCCAACACCGGAAUAGGGUACGAGGCAUUACCAAAACACAUACACUUGUAAACGUAUUUAACCGAGUUAUAAAAUUUCAUUUAAAUUAAAACUUUCAAAAUAAUUAACAUGCUUUUAUAACUUUUCACAAUAUAUCCUCAAAAUAUUAUAAUCAUAAUAAUUAGGGCCUACGAGACCCGGUACAUACUCAUACAAUUCAAUGCUUCAUUUCCAUUUCAUUUAAUUCGCAAUUUCUCAUGCUCACAAUUUAGAUCAUAUCACUAGCAAUUUCCAUUUAAUUCACGUACAAUUCAAUGUCACUAAGUUUAACACUAAUACGUAUUUACCAUUUAACUCAACGUUUAUCAAUCAUAUCAUUCAAUAACACAUUUAUGAAAUUCUUAAUUUUGCAAUGAAAAUAUCACUUUAGCUUAAAUAACAACAUCAUCCUGGUAUAAAUACACUAUCACUUAUUCAUUUACUUUAAUUCAUUUGGGCCCAUUUGUCACUUACCAUCCUUAAUCAAAUUAGGGAACAGUUACGGAAAAUUGAGUACUUCACUUUCACUUUGCCAUAGUAUAUCUAUGGUCUUACGUAUAAUCACUUAUCACUUGUCCCUGAUCAGAUAAGUGUAGCCACUUAUCACUUUGUUUCUUGAUCAGAUAAGUGUAGCCACUUAUCACUUUGUCUCUUGAUCAGAUAAGUAUAGCAGAAGCUAUCACUUAUCACUUUCCACUUGUCACUUGAUCAGAUAAGUGUAGCCGAAGCUAUCACCUAUCACUUUGUCACUUGAUCAGAAGUACUCAAAUCCGGCGUUCCGCUCAAUUUGAUCAUUUAUUCAAUUUUCACAUUUUUAUUUUAUUCUCAUUUCAUCAAUAAAUAUAUCUCAUCAUACAUUACAUAACUCAUGAAAUUAACAUUUAAUCAUUAAAUUUCGGUCAUAUGAACUUACUAUUUCAUUAUCUUACCACACUUGUUUCCUAUGCACAUCACACAAGAUAUAAACAUAUCAUUCAACCAUAGUCACAAGCUAGUAUAUUUAAACAUAACUCUUUUUGGAACUAACCACAUGAUAAACCAUUCAUGACAUUAUUUCAUGCCAAAUCAUAUACUGAAUAUACGAUACACACAUACUAUGAAACUUUAUUUUCACACAUGAGCUUAAACCAAAACCAAUAAUGCACAAAUAUAAGCAUUAUUUCUAUUUCAUCGUUUAUCAAUUAUAAUCAAGCAUAUGACCAAUUAUACACAAAUCAUUCAUAUACUUCUCAAUUUUCCUCCUCCUCCUCUCCAUUCCACAUCCUUAAUGUGUAUAACACACUUAAACAACAUUAGCUAUAAUUUCACUAUUCACUCACAUGUAUAUUCAAAGCUGUUUAUCCGAGUUAGAGUCACUAAAUUAUUUUUAUCCGGAGCUACAGAGCUCUAAAUUAAGAUCCGUUAAUUUUUCCUGAAACUAGACUCACAUACCUUCUUACCAUAAAAUUUUCAGAAUUUUUUGGUUCAGCCAAAUAGUACAGUUUAUUCUUUAAAGUUUCCCCUGUUUUGCUGUCUGACAGUUCCGACCACUCUUCACUAAAAAUUAAUUAUCUCAUUGUACAGAAUUUGGAUGAUAUUUAUAUUGGUUUCUUCUGAAGAUAGACUCAUUAAGGAUUCUAAUCAUAUAAAUUAUAACUCAUAAUCAUUUUUGUACAAUUUUUAAUGAUUUUCCAAAUUCAGAACAGGGGAACCCGAAUUCAUUCUGACCUUGUCUCACAAAAUCUAUUAUAUCUCAUGAUUUACAAUUUCAUUACUUACACCGUUUCUUCUAUGAGAAACUAGACUCAAUAAGCUUUAAUUUCAUAUUUUAUUCACCCUCUAAUUCAAUUCCCACAGUUUUUGGUGAUUUUUCAAAGUCAGACCACUGUUGCUGCCCAAAACUGUUUAGUGUAAUAUAUUGAUUACCAAUUUGACUCUAAACUUUUAAUACAUGAUAAUUUCGUCCCUAGGCUUGGAAAAUGAAAUUCUUGCAAUAUAAUCCUUGAUUCAAGUCUAGUAUUUCUCAUACAUAUCAAUAACAGCCCAUAGAUUCCAUGAAAUUUUAGAAUUUCUCCAUGAUUUUAAUACUUUUCAAUUUAAUCCCUAAAACAUGUUUUCAUCUAAAAUUCUUUAAUAAAACACCUUUAAACAUCCAUUAACAUCUCAAUUUCAUCACAAAAUAACAAAAAUCAUAUGAACUUAUCAUUAGUAUCUUCCAAAACUUUCAACAAAAUGAGAAACUAGUAGAAUACUAAGUUGGACCUAAUUGUAAAAGUCUAAAAAUAUAAAAAUUUCAAGGACAAAGCAAGAAUUAAACUUACUUGAAGCCAAAAUAUGGAAUACCAGCUCCAAACCCUCUUCCAUGGCUGUCUCCCACCGAAAUUUCAAGAGGAAAUGGUCUUGAAAUGCUUAAAAUAAAAUUUGG